GACGAACGCUGGCGGCGUGCUUAACACAUGCCAGUCGAACGGAAAGGCACUGCGUUUGUGGGGUGCUCGAGUGGCGAACGGGUGCGUAACACGUGAGUAACCUGACCUUGACUUUGGGAUAACUUCAGGAAACUGGGGCUACUACCGGAUAGGAGCUCCUGCUGCAUGGUGGGGGUUGGAACGUUUCUGCGGUUGGGGAUGGACUAGCGGGUUAUCCGCUUGUUGGUGGGGGAGUGGCUUACCAAGCAUUGGGCGGAUACCCGGCCGUGGAGGGUGACCGGCGACAUGAGGACUGAGGUACGGCGCAGACGCGUACGGUGGGCAGCAGUGGGGAAUAUUGCACAAUGGGCGCAAGCCUGAUGCAGCAACGCCGGGUGCGUGAUGACGGCCUUCGGGUUGUAAACCGCUUUCGCCUGUGACGAAGCGUGAGUGACGGUAAUGAGUAAAGAAGCACCGGCUAACUACGUG
rnacentral:rRNA from 1 species